AACGAACGCUGGCGGCAUGCCUAACACAUGCAAGUCGAACGAAACCGUCGGGUCUAGGGGCGCACGGGGGCGUAACGCGUGGGAACCUGCCCUUAGGUUAGGAAUAACUCCCCGAAAGGGGUGCUAAUACCGGAGAAGGUCUUCGGACCAAAGAUUUUUCGCCGUGGGAUGGGCGCUGGUUGGAUUGGUUGGUUGGUAGGGGAAAAGCCUACCAAGGCGACGAUGCAUAGCUGGUCGGGGAGGAUGCUCAGCAAGACUUGGACUGAGACACGGCCCAGAAUGCGACGGGGGGGAGGAGUAGGGUAUAUUGGACAAUGGGGCAAAGUCUGAUCCCGCCAUGCCGGGUGAGUGAUGAAGGCCUUUGGGUUGUAAAGCUCUUUUUCCCGGGAUGAUAAUGACGGUACCGGGAGAAUAAGCUCCGGCUAACUCCGUG
rnacentral:rRNA from 1 species